AAAAUAAGACCUACUUACAGGUUUCCUUCUGAGUGAAAUAUAAGGCAUCCCCCCAAAAAUAAGCCCCCCCCCCCCAGGCUCUGUCUCAGAAUGAAAAUUAAUUUACCUUAAACUGGUCACUAAGGCCGCUCCGAUGGGCGUCUAGCAACCAGAGACAUUACGCGGAGUCCUGACGUCACUGCUGUGGGAAUGGAGAGAAAUCAGCGUGGAAACUUUGUGAAACU